GUAUUCGUAGUCGUUGACUUUGUCUCUCGUCCCCGAUCCGGUGCCCUUGGUAUAGCGGCCAAGGAACCUCGCCUCUCCAGAAAACCCAUCCAAGAAUCUUCACAUCCAGAAGAAGAAAAGGUGAUCAAGUGUUUGAUUUUUAGUCGAGAUAUUUGUUACUUGUUGUACUCCCUCGUGAACAACUCGGGAGCGCGGUGCAGAUUGCGGUGCAAAUGUCAGGUAGGAAGGAAACAGUUCAUGAUUUGGCGAAGUUCAUCGACAAAGGCGUCCAGGUCAAGUUAACUGGGGGAAGACAAGAAAGCUGCUUGUGUACCUCGAUAAGGACCAUUAGAAGUAAACCUGGUAGGCAUAUGUUGAAGUGGAAAGGUUAUGAUCAGCUGCUAAACUUGGUGCUAGACAAAGCGACAGAGUUCCUGAGAGAUCAUGAUGAUCCACUGAAGACAACUGAUCAAACCAGGCGCCUUGGUCUAAUCAUAUGUAGGGGGCCUGCUGAAAUGCUGGUCUCGCCAACAGAUGGAACAGAUGAAAUUGCAAACCCCUUUAUCCAACCGGAUGGAACAAGAUGUCGAUUUUAUUUGCUGGCAUGCUCUCUGCUUGGCUCGGAACAAUACUCGGACAACAGAAGGAAGAAGGCACGGCAUGAACAAGCUGCCACCGCAGGAACUGCGGGUCACAUGGUCCUCCUCCUGCCGUAAGAAGAAGCUGCAGAGAGGAAGACGAGACGAGGUGGGCUGGCGGGGGUCCUCGCUUUUCUUCGGCCUCCUCGAUACAAGGAUGGGGUGGACCGCCUCCACCUCUUCCCCUUCGCUCCGGGAUAAACUGCAACCGAACAAUGAGCGGAACGUGCCAUGCUGGUCGCCGGAUAUGAUGAUAAGCCGCAGGCCAUCAUCACCUCGUCCUAACUAUAUGAUGCCAUCCUUUAUUCUUUGGGAUUUUUCUUGUAGUGUAAAACACAUAAGACACCUUCGACAACAGUAGCGAGAUCAGGGAAAACAAUCUGGCCAGCGAAUUCACGUCACCGUCACCGUCAAGACUCGGCAAACGACUCCGACGACGCUGACGGCGAUGCUGCUGCUGGUUGUUGUUGGUGGAGGACUCUUAAGUAAUCUCGGACGUCGAAUCCCA